GCUGGGAUUCCCCCCACACCCUCUCUCCGCGGAAGGCGGCGGACUUUGGAAAAGGCCGGCGGGGGCCCACUCGAGUCGUAUUGGCUGGACUGGAAGGUCUGAGCUGCCCUUCCGUGGUUCUAGUGUCCCCUUUCUGUGCUACCAACACCGGCCAGGCCAUUCACCCACAGCCGGAGCCCCAGAGCUGGCAUCCAGCCGACCUGAAUUUCCCAAAGGGCUUUCCCAGGUCCUAGAGUCCUGCCGCUGAGAGGUCAUCAGACCCUGAUCUUGGGUCUCUGAGAGGGUGGCCUGGCACGAUGUGUAAAUUGAGAUGAGGAAAGCCAAGUUUCGUGCUGACCAUGGAGUCGCUUUCUACAGGCCCCUUUUCUAUAGCAGCCCCGCUGUCAUAACUGCUCGCAAGGCAAGGCUGAAGGAGUGGCAGUGGACCGCGGGCCCAGCCUCCACUGGGAGGACCAACCUCAGCUGCCAAGCAGCCUGCGUCCUGAAUCUUCAAGCUGUCCCCGCCAGGACGCCUGUCUGUAUUUGCAUCUACAUGAAACCGUGAAGCAGGAAUGCUGAAAUAUAGGGAAGCACAGAUGGGCGUGGGAACACAUCCAAAUGGGAGAGCUGGGCCUUGAACCUAUCUGACCCUGAACCUGUCUUCUCAGUCACUGCCCUGUCUCCAGCAGCAUCUUGACCGGUGAUAGCUUCUGCUUACUGAAACGUGACCACGACACAGAGCUCAGAGGCGAAUAAGGGACCGGACGGGAGGGGCGGCUGCUCGCCUAGACCACUGUAGCCCCAGGUUCUACAUGGAACACUCCCAGCUUGGAAGCCAGGCCAGCGACCAAAGCUCUCAGGACUUGGGCUGAUUCUUUGUCACCCAUGCCAGCAGCAGAGCCAGCCAGCUGUGCUGUGGCGCUGCCAAGGCCGCCCGGGCUGGUCGGCGCACACGUCUGGAGCUUCUCCUGUGCCAGGCACAACUCCAAAUGCAAGCAUAUCCCAGGCCUUCCCUUCAGAGCCCCAGGGGCGUUUUGUCCCUCCCUGGCCUCAGAUGCUCCUGCUAAAUAAAAGGGGCCAACUUUA